GCCGGGUGCGGUGGCUCACACCUGUAAUCCCAAGCACUUUGGGAGGCGGAGGCAGGUGGAUCACCUGAGGUCAGGAGUUCGAGACAGGGCCUGGCCAACAUGGUGAAACCUGUCUCUA
rnacentral:SRP_RNA from 1 species